UACAGAGGGUGCAAGCGUUAAUCGGAAUUACUGGGCGUAAAGCGAGCGUAGUCGGUUAUUUAAGUCGGGUGUGAAAGCCCCGGGCUCAACCUGGGAAUUGCAUUCGAUACUGGAUAGCUAGAGUUCGGCAGAGGGAAGCGGAAUAUCCGGUGUAGCGGUGAAAUGCGUAGAUAUCGGAAGGAACAUCAGUGGCGAAAGCGGCUUCCUGGACCAGAACUGACGAUCAGGCUCGAAAGCGUGGGAAGCAAACAGG
rnacentral:rRNA from 1 species